rnacentral:lncRNA from 1 species
CCCGGGGUUACUUGCGCCCUCUAUAAAUGAAAGACGGUACCGCCAGUUCUGGGAAUCGCACAGGGGUGCGUACAAAUGGACCAGGACGCGGAGAGCACGGAAACAACGGUGCUGGGACCUUGUGCACAGAAUCCAGAUGCCAGAUGGGAAUUAAACAUUCGGCCGAGAAAAGCAAUCUAGUUCCCUGGGCUCGACUUUGACUCACUCCUUGGUCUGCACCAAUCCUCACAUCCCUCAGGUCCUCUAACUUUUACGACAGUAUCCAGAAAUCGAUUCUUUGGUCUCUACGGCUCCAGAAGGCUCGCUCAUCAAGAAACGUUCCAUUACCUUCGAUUAGAAGUGGAUACAUAUAUGAUUUUGGCCUAAAAAAAAAUUUGCAAAAAGGGAGAAUGCAAACUUGUCCUUUUCCUUUUGGAUUUACGGAGUGCCAGUAUCAGAGUCUAUUGAGGAGGAAUCUCUGAAAAUGACAGCUGAUGGGUGUAGAGACCCACGCCCGGAAUCUCAGCAACUGAAGUGGUUGAAGCAGGAGCAUCUGGGCAGAGCUUGAACCAGGAAGCUGAGCGGCACCAUAGGUGUUGCUAACCAAGCAUAGCAGCAUAAUAAAAAUGGAGUGAUUAAAUGUA